CUCCUGCACACACCUCGGCGUUCCCUCAUUUAAUCUCAGCUCUGAUAGAAUGUAAUCACGCACCCUUAUUAACAUUUCCAGAAUCAUUUUCAGCCAUUGAUGGGCAGAAACUUUCAUUACAGGGAGAAAUUACAAAGGCAAGAUUGCAAGUAGAUGGGGAGGCAAUCUACGAGGCUGCACGGAGAUGUAUGAGAGCAUGGAUGCAAAAGCUGACAUCGUUAGCUUCAGUCAGUGCUCUGAAUACACACACACAAACAGGAGUACGAGAGGAGCAGUUCUGUGGUGGAAAGUAACUACAUUGUCGCCUCCUCUCUUAUGGCUUAAACUACUGCACAAAGGUCUCCGUAGAUUGUGGUUCCUUCUGGACCCUGGUCCUGACACCUGCCGUGGCCAUGCUGACGCCUGCUGCUGCCAUCAUCAUUAUUUUAGAUAUUAAUCAUAUUACUGUACUCAUAAACCGACAUUACCCUCUCCUAAAAUCUCUGUGCUCUCCCUCCCCACAGGCUUCUGUGGAUGGUGGUUCUAUCUGAUGGUGGUUGCCCCUGCAGUGGUCCUGCUGUGCGCCUGGCUUACUACUCACAAUUACUUGAAUCAUUUCUGUCAUAGGAAUUGCAUGUAUUAUACAUUGUUCAUUCUGUACACAUGGCAUCCAUUGUAGUCUGUCCAUCCCGGGAGUGGGAUCCCUCCUCUGACGUUCUCCCUAAGGUUUCUUCCCUUUUUUCCCUCUUGUAAGGGUUUUUUCAUUUUUUGGGGAGUUUUUCCUGUGCCGAUGGAGGGUUUCGGGGCAGAGGAUGUUGUAUGUGUACAGAC
ensembl:lncRNA